GCGGCCGGCUAUACAUGCAGUCGAACGGUAGAUUACUUUCUGGUAUUUGAGAGUGGCGAACGGGUGCGUAACGCGUAUGCAACCUACCCUAUAGAGUGGGGAUAUAACCGGAGAAAUCUGGAUUAAUACCCCAUGGUACCCUAUUGAGGCAUUUUGAUUUGGUUAAAGAUUCCUCGGUAUAGGAUGGGCAUGCGUCUGAUUACCUAGUUGGGGGGGUACCGGACCACCAAGGCUACAAUCAUUACGGGUUCUGAAAGGAAAGUCCCCCCCCCUGGCCCUGAAAUACGGCCCAAACUCCUACGGAAGGCAGCAGGAGGAAAUAUUGGGCAAGGGACAAAAGCCUGACCCAGCCUUGCCCCGGGCAGGAAAACGGCUUUCUGCUUUGUAAACUGUUUUUAUCUGGGAAAAGAAAGCCCCUGCGGGGGAAAUUGCCGGUACCAUAUGAAUAAACACCGGCUAACUCCAUGCCGUCAGCCGCGGCAAUACGGAAGGUGCAAGCGUUGUCCGGAUUUAUUGUAUUGAAAGGGUGCGUAGGCGGCUGUUUAAGUCAGUGGUGAAAGACUCCGGCUCAACCGGACCUGUGCCAUUGAUACUGGAUAGCUUGAGUAUUGUACGGGUACAUGGAAUUGAUGGUGUAGCGUUGAAAUGAAUAGAUACCAUCUAGAACACCGAUAGCGAAGGCAUUGUACUGGCCAAUAACUGACGCUGAUGCACGAAAGCAUGGGUAGCGAACAGGAUUAGAUACCCU
rnacentral:rRNA from 1 species